GCGGCGUGCUUAACACAUGCAAGUCGAACGGAGAUAGGAGAGCUUGCCUCUUCCGAAUCUUAGUGGCGGACGGGUGAGUAACGCGUGAGCAACCUGCCUUUCAGAGGGGACAACGUUUGGAAACGAACGCUAAUACCGCAUAAGAUCGUAGGGCCACAUGGUCCAGUCGACCAAAGGAGCAAAUUCCGCUGAAAGAUGGGCUCGCGUCUGAUUAGAUAGUUGGUGGGGUAACGGCCUACCAAGUCGACGAUCAGUAGCCGGACUGAGAGGUUGAACGGCCACGAUUGGGACUGAGAUACGGCCCAGACUCCUACGGGAGGCAGCAGUGGGGAAUAUUGCACAAUGGGGGAAACCCUGAUGCAGCAACGCCGCGUGAAGGAUGACGGUUUUCGGAUUGUAAACUUCUGUUCUCGUUGACGAAGACGAGUGGACGGUAAACGAGGAGCAAGCCACGGCUAACUACGUGCCAGCAGCCGCGGUAA
rnacentral:rRNA from 1 species